rnacentral:rRNA from 1 species
AUUGAACGCUGGCGGCAGGCCUAACACAUGCAAGUCGAACGAGUGGCGGACGGGUGCGUAAUGUCUGGGAAACUGCCCGUUGGAGGGGGAUAACUAUUGGAAACGGUAGCUAAUACCGCAUACCAUCGGAUGUGCCCUGAUGGGAUUAGCUAGUGGGUGGGGUAACGGCUCACCUAGACGACGAUCCCCAGCUGGUCUGAGAGGCUGACCAGCCACACUGGAACUGAGACACGGUCCAGACUCCUACGAGAGGCAGCAGUGGGGAAUAUUGCGCAAUGGGCGCAAGCCUGAGGCAGCCAUGCCGCGUGUAUGAAGAAGGCCUUCGGGUUGUAAAGUACUUUCAGCGAGGAGGCGUUACUCGCAGAAGAAGCACCGGCUAACUCCGUGCCAGCAGCCGCGGUAAUUC